rnacentral:rRNA from 1 species
AUUGAACGCUGGCGGCAUGCUUUACACAUGCAAGUCGAACGGUAACAGGGAGCUUGCUCCGCUGACGAGUGGCGAACGGGUGAGUAAUAUAUCGGAACGUACCCAAGAGUGGGGGAUAACGUAGCGAAAGUUACGCUAAUACCGCAUACGAUCUAUGGAUGAAAGCAGGGGACCUUCGGGCCUUGUGCUCCUGGAGCGGCCGAGAUCUGAUUAGCUAGUUGGUGAGGUAAAGGCUCACCAAGGCGACGAUCAGUAGCUGGUCUGAGAGGACGAACGGCCACACUGGAACUGAGACACGGUCCAGACUCCUACGGGAGGCAGCAGUGGGGAGUUUUGGACAAUGGGCGCAAGCCUGAUCCAGCAAUGCCGCGUGAGUGAAGAAGGCCUUCGGGUUGUAAAGCUCUUUUGUCAGGGAAGAGACGGGAGUGGCUAAUAUCCAAUCCUAAUGACGGUACCUGAAGAAUAAGCACCGGCUAACUACGUGCCAGCCGCCGCAGUAAAAC